GAAAAGAAACCAACAGGGAUUGCCUUAGUAACGGCGAGUGAAGCGGCAAUAGCUCAAAUUUGAAAUCUGGCGCUUGCGUCCGAGUUGUAAUUUGUAGAGGAUGUUUCGGGCAAGGUUGUGGUUUAAAUUUCUUGGAACAGAAUGUCAUAGAGGGUGAGAGUCCCGUCUAGAACCGUAUACCGCGUCCAUGUGAAACUCCUUCGACGAGUCGAGUUGUUUGGGAAUGCAGCUCUAAAUGGGAGGUAAAUUUCUUCUAAAGCUAAAUAUUGGCCAGAGACCGAUAGCGCACAAGUAGAGUGAUCGAAAGAUGAAAAGCACUUUGAAAAGAGAGUUAAACAGUAUGUGAAAUUGUUGAAAGGGAAGCGCUUGCAACCAGACUUGUGUUUAACGGUUCCACCACUGUUCUCAGUGGUUUAUUCCGUUAUUUCCAGGCCAGCAUCGGUUUGGGUGGUUAGUUAAAGACAUUGGGAAUGUAUCUACCCUUCGGGGUCGACUUAUAGCCCUUUGUGUAAUGUGACCUACCCGGACCGAGGCACGCGCAUCUGCUCGGAUGCUGGCGUAAUGGUUGUAAGCGGCCCGUCUUGAAACACGGACCAAGGAGUCUAACAUCUAUGCGAGUGUUCGGGUGUCAAACCCCUACGCGGAAUGAAAGUGAACGGAGGUAGGAACCCGUUAAACGGUGCACUAUCGACCGAUCCUGAUGUCUUCGGAUGGAUUUGAGUAAGAGCAUAGCUGUUGGGACCCGAAAGAUGGUGAACUAUGCGCGGAUAGGGUGAAGCCAGAGGAAACUCUGGUGGAGGCUCGCAGCGGUUCUGACGUGCAAAUCGAUCGUCAAAUCUACGCAUAGGGGCGAAAGACUAAUCGAAUC
rnacentral:rRNA from 1 species